rnacentral:rRNA from 1 species
GCCCAGACUCCUACGGGAGGCAGCAGUGGGGAAUAUUGGGCAAUGGGCGCAAGCCUGACCCAGCAACGCCGCGUGAAGGAAGAAGGCUUUCGGGUUGUAAACUUCUUUUGUCAGGGACGAAGCAAGUGACGGUACCUGACGAAUAAGCCACGGCUAACUACGUGCCAGCAGCCGCGGUAAUACGUAGGGAGCGAGCGUUGUCCGGAAUUACUGGGUGUAAAGGGAGCGUAGGCGGGACUGCAAGUUGGGUGUCAAAUCUACCGGCUCAACCGGUAGCCGCACUCAAAACUGCAGUUCUUGAGUGAAGUAGAGGCAGGCGGAAUUCCUAGUGUAGCGGUGAAAUGCGUAGAUAUUAGGAGGAACACCGGUGGCGAAGGCGGCCUGCUGGACUGUAACUGACGUUGAGGCUCGAAAGCGUGGGGAGCAAACAGGAUUAGAUACCCCAGUAGCG